AUGCCGGCGAUUGUUUUCAAGCGCCACUGGCAUUUUAUGGGAGAUCAAGUUGUGGAGGAAGUUCUAAAGGUACUGAAUGGUGGAGAGAUCCCCGAGGGGUGGAAUGAUACUAUGGUGGUGCUUAUCCCCAAGGUCAAAAACACAAAAAGGCUCAAGGAUCUUCGCCCCAUCAGUUUGUGCAAUGUCGUAUACAAGUUAGUAUCAAAGGUGAUUGCCAAUAGACUCAAAUUGAUCCUACCUGAGGUGAUUUCAGAGCAACAGAGCGCGUUUGUGUCGGGGAGAUUAAUUACGGACAAUGUUCUCACAACCUAUGAGGUUUCUCACUAUCUGAUGAACAAGAGGAAAGGGAGGAGUGGAGUUGCGGCAAUUAAAGCAGAUAUGAGCAAGGCGUAUGACCGGGUGGAAUGGAGGUUCUUGGAGGCCAUGCUUCACAAAUUGGGGUUUAGUACGAGAUGGACUGAACUUUUCAUGAAAUGUGUCCGGGCCGUACGAUAA
rnacentral:rRNA from 1 species